CUAUCCCUAACACUACUGAUAGGGUGCAGUGUUGAGCACACAGUGUCAGGUUUAACAAGAACUAUCCCUCACACUACUGAUAGGGUGCAGUGUUGAGCAUGCAGUGUCAGGUUUAACAAGAACUAUCCCUCACACUACUGAUAGGGUGCAGUGUUGAGCACACAGUGUCAGGUUUAACAAGAACUACCCUUCUCACUACUCAUUAUUGUAAGGGACCUCGUUAGGAUGAGAAAGCCAAAAUAACUCGGCGUGCCUUGUGGCAGCAACAGUUGUAUACUCCCCAGGGAGUUGAGAUUGAUAAUAAGAUGUGCCUGUGAGAUUGACAUCCAAUGAUUGAGGGGAAAAAUACCAGCGCCUUGAGCAUGCGCUAGUGCAUGGAUAUGUGCGCUAUAUAAAUAUCCAAUAAUAAAUAAUAAUGAAAAAUAAAGAUGGUAGAGCGUUAAGCAUUCAGUCUCAGGGUUCACAGAAACUCUCCCUAUAGUUACUUCUGCUUGUGGAGGUAUGAAUUGUUCAGAAUUGGUCAACUGCUGGUCAUAAGAGGUGGCAGAAUGGAUCAGGUGGUCAUUGUACCAUCAUCCCUGACAUCUUUGCUCAUAAUAUCAAUCACAAGAUUGUCUGAUCCAGACUUGAUUAUCUACAAGUCAUAUAGCUGCUGUCAUUGCUGCUGGGAAAUAUGGUGCAUUGUUGAACAUCAUUCUAAUGAAUUCAGUGUCAGUUUGGGUUUACCAAUAAUGUGUUGUUGCUCCGUCUUUAUGACAAUCAUGUUUGUGAAAGGAGGUACAGUGUACAGACAUUCUUCUGAAAUGAAUCUAGUAGAAUAUGGCUGUAUAUAAAUAGUGGGGGUAGAAGGUACUGCUUUGUUACAGUAGGUUGUUGAUGUUAUGUCCAGAAUUGUAUUUUGUGAAGUUUCUGAUCCUUUAAAUGUUUGUUUCCGAUAUUAUCAUGUAUCUUUCUAUCUCCUUGUUACUGAUACCUGCCCUGGUACCAGUCUGUUGUUAUGUUUACCCAAGUCUAGUGUUGUGAUAAAGGUGGACAUUGUGAAACGAGACUGUUAUGGAGUCGUCACGUACAUGGAUGUACACUAUAAAUGUUCUAUGAACUUCUUUAAGUUUUACAAUGGUUCGUUUUUCUCCAAUAGUCAUAAUAAAUUCACUUCAGGACAGACAGAUGGGCGAAGUUCCUCAUGCCCAAGGCUUGUCUACAGUUGGUCUCCCCUUAUUGUGAUAUUGAAGGAACAAAAAAGUCAGCUCCACUCCCAUUAUUAUUCACUGAUAUCAGUAUUUAGCAAUGUUGGAAAAAUGAUGAUUUUUUC